rnacentral:rRNA from 1 species
AUGGGGUGCAGCAGGCGCGAAANCUUUACAAUGCGGGNAACCGUGAUAAGGGAACACCCAGUGCUAGCACUUAUGUNNNCNGUNCACANGUGUAAAUAACAUCUGAUANCAAGGGCUGGGCAAGACCGGUGCCAGCCGCCGCGGUAACACCGGCAGCCCGAGUGGUGAUCACUAUUAUUGGGUCUAAAGGGUCCGUAGCCGNNUUAAUCAGUNNUCNGGGAAAUCUCAUCGCUCAACUAUUAGGCUUCCAGGGGAUACUGUUAGCCUUGGGACCGGGAGAGGUAAGAGGUACCCCAGGGGUAGGAGUGAAAUCNUGUAAUCCCAGGGAGACCACCAGUGGCGAAGGCGUCUUACCAGAACGGGUCCGACGGUGAGGGACGAAAGCCGGGGGCACGAACCGGAUUAGAUACCCGGGUGGUCCCAGCUGUAAACGAUGCUCNUUAGGUGUCAGGAACGNNGNGNNNNUNUCCGGUGCCGAAGGGAAGCCGUGAAACGAGCCACCUGGGAAGUACGGCCGCAAGGCUGAAACUUAAAGGAAUUGGCGGGGGAGCAC